rnacentral:rRNA from 1 species
GUCAUGCCAAUGGCACUGCCCGGUAGCUAAAUGCGGAAGAGAUAAGUGCUGAAAGCAUCUAAGCACGAAACUUGCCCCGAGAUGAGUUCUCCCUGAGACCUUGAGUCUCCUGAAGGAACGUUAAAGACGAUGACGUUGAUAGGUCGGGUGUGUAAGCGCAGCGAUGCGUUGAGCUAACCGAUACUAAUGAACCGUGAGGCUU